AAAGCGUGCGCAGGCGGUUUUGUAAGUCUGAUGUGAAAUCCCCGGGCUCAACCUGGGAAUUGCAUUGGAGACUGCAAGGCUAGAAUCUGGCAGAGGGGGGUAGAAUUCCACGUGUAGCAGUGAAAUGCGUAGAUAUGUGGAGGAACACCGAUGGCGAAGGCAGCCCCCUGGGUCAAGAUUGACGCUCAUGCACGAAAGCGUGGGGAGCAAACAGGAUUAGAUACCCCAGU
rnacentral:rRNA from 1 species